CUGUCAGCAGUUACUACAUUACUGUAUCAUAAAGAAGAACCAUUUAGACACAUACAUGGAGAAAAUGCAAAGACAGCACAGUAAUUUGUUACAGUAUAUCUGAAAUUAAUUUUUAUGUGCAUUUAUAUUUAGUGAAUCCUUUCAGCCAGAGUAACUAACUUGAGGUGCACCAGUGGGGGCAUUUAAACAAUAAGAAGAAAACAUUUACAUUCCCAAAACAUAAUCAUGUACACUGAGAUGCAAAACAGAGAAGAUUUAUCAUAAAAAUAUAGUAAGUAUUAUAAAAAGUAAGUAAAAUUCUACAAAUACACCUAUGUUGUACACUUUCUCCCCAGAGUCCCCCUCUUUAUCCAGUCAUAAGAAAUAACCUAUAUAAACAUUUAAACUAGAAUGUAGUGGUAAGUAGAUAUAAAGACAUUUGUAAGUGGUAAAUAGUAACAAGCAGUAUUUGUCAACAAUUUUAACCCCUCCUUCUUCUUUAUGUUUGAAGACAUAUUUUACAGUAUUACAACUGUGUUUUUACUAUAUAUUCAUUCAUCAUAUAGAGCAGACUUUGCUCAUGGGGACCACAGGAGGAGUCAAAGUUUUUCGCAAAUACAUUACUGUAAUAAACACUGCUUAGACUCACACUUGCACAGCUACUUUAUAAUGAAUUAUCAACCAUUUAUUAAAUGUGUAUAUACUGCUUAUAAAUGCUACAUGUGGGGACUUCAAGUAAAGUGUUGUCAAUCUUUGUUAUUUAUUCACGCAAAAAGGAUGCAGGGGC